rnacentral:rRNA from 1 species
UACGAGGGAUCCUAGCGUUGUUCGGAAUCAUUGGGCGUAAAGGGUGUGUAGGCGGCCAUGUAAGUCAGUUGUGAAAUCCCCGGGCUCAACCCGGGAAGUGCUUCUGAUACUGCUUGGCUUGAGUAUUGGAGAGGUGAGUGGAAUUCCAGGUGUAGUGGUGAAAUACGUAGAUAUCUGGAGGAACACCGGCGGCGAAGGCGGCUCACUGGCCAUAUACUGACGCUGAAACACGAAAGCGUGGGUAGCAAACAGG